UACGUAGGGUGCGAGCGUUGUCCGGAAUUAUUGGGCGUAAAGAGCUUGUAGGCGGUUUGUCGCGUCUGCUGUGAAAAUCCGGGGCUCAACCCCGGACUUGCAUGUGGGUACGGGCAGACUAGAGUGUGGUAGGGGAGACUGGAAUUCCUGGUGUAGCGGUGAAAUGCGCAGAGUAUCAGGAGGAACACCGAUGGCGAAGGCAGGUCUCUGGGCCACUACUGACGCUGAGAAGCGAAAGCAUGGGGAGCGAACAGG
rnacentral:rRNA from 1 species